AGAGCCAUCAUAUACAUCAUAUACGUGUUGCUUUUUAUAUUUUUUCAUUUUUCUCUCACCGCUUCCACCGCCCCUAUCAUCCAAUGAGACGUUUCACCGCUAUAUCAUCGUAUUAUCGACCUCAGCCUUCCCUUUCAUUGAUUUUUCGGGUUUAGAGCUUUCGUAAGCCAAGUCAACAUCGACAUAUUCAUCCUCUCCACCAUCAUCGUCACUCCUCUUUUACGACCUUCCUGCUCCGCCUCCUUCCUGAUUUCAUCCACUAACCUCAUCAUGUCGGCUUUCGCUUACUGGCUUUUGCAUCAUCCGUCUCUGUACAAUAAUCAACUUUCUUCAUGUUUAUCUCUUACUUCCUCCCUCCGUUUAGGGUUGCAUUGUUUAACAUCUGAUCUUUAAAAUUCAUAAUCAACUCAAAUGCUUUAGUUUUUCUUGACCUUAAAUCUUUCUUUGUUGUUAUAAUGAUCAACAUUAGGGCUUUUUUCUCAGAGAAAGAAUUGGGGGUUUAGUUUUCUAUAGAUCUGGAAGCAUUAUCAUAUUGUACAAAGGAACAGACUACAAGUAUCCUUACUUCUUUGUAAAACCAAAUCAUUCAUCACGACGUGCAUAGAGAGACUACUUCUAUCUCCUUCUAACUGUUCCAUGCUUUAUGUUUUUGUCACUGUGAAGGCAUAGGGUUUUGGGGACUUCGGCUUUCCUUUUUUUUGCCCUCGCAUUCUUUGCCCUCCAACUCAAUUGAACCUACAAUAUUAUUGUAUGCUUUUAUGCCAUAACACAUUGUUUGAUUUUUCCUAAAAAAACUAUGGUUAGGUAGAUGUUGGUAAACCAGGGGAGUACGAUGGGGUUAUUGAAUCUAUACAGCAACGGAGGUGUAAUUGGAACCAUGUUCUUCAUAUGCAUCAAUACUUUUCAGUGGUUGAGGUGUUUAAUGCAUUGUAACACGUGAAUGAUUUGCAAUUUUGUCCACUAGGUCCUCCUUACUAAUUGGAACCCUCAACAUUCUUAGGAGUUAAGCAUGCACACGGUUGAUCUCUGUUUUGCACGUGAUAUGAGAGUUAGGGUAAUUAAAUACUCUUACUAUAUGUUUGGAAUCAUCCGGUUGACCCAAACAACCAAAAAAAGAGAACGGCUUAGCACUGAGGCACAACUCAUGGAAGAAUCUGAUCAUCUUUUGCAUGGAUUGGUUCCAAGGUUCAGUGAUUGGUAAUGAGUUCUUUGAGGGUUCUAAUGGAAAUUACCGGACAUUCAAGAAAAAAGGCGCGACUAAAUCUUCAUUACAAUGUACAAGUUAAAAUUUUGCAUAUAUUCUCAUUAUAUUGGUAAAAUCAACUUUUCAACAAAUAUUUCGGAGGUGGGAUUGAAUCAUAUAUUUAAUAGAUGUGCGAACAAGGUAAUUUCCAUUUCAUGCUCCUUCAAAUGUUAUUAUUGCUCCCCCGUUAAAGAAAAAACUACAUUUUGACUAAAUGUAGGGCUUUUCAAUUGCGAAAUUGGUAUCGAUUUUGUUGUUGCCAAUGUCAUUAUGUUCGUAGUACUUAGUCUAAUGAUAGAACUGAUAGCCACGUAGUACUUAGUCUGAUGAUGGAAUUGAUAGACAAACAUCUACCAUCUCAAAUUUUAAACACCAUCGUUUUUACUCUCUUCUUCAUCCCAACAAUAAAAGUUCAUAAUUAAUGAAAAUCACUACAUCUUAUUUUCAUUUUAAAGUUGUUAGUUUCAGGUCCAAGAAGAUGAUGGAAACACAGUUAAUGCACUUCCGCACGUUAAACGUCUUAUUGAGCUUAAAAAAGAUGAUCAUUUUGGAAAAAUUGCCAUGGUUAGGUUUGAUUCCAACAUCUUACUUGAAGAAAAUCAAAACCAGAGUUCAAAAACAUUCAUACAGCAGUAGGAAUCAUCACUUUCAUUUAUUCUCAUGCUACCUCUACAGAAGUUAUGUUAUGCUUUUCUUUUAUAAAACAUGAAAACAAUAGUUUUUUACAAUAGUUACUUAAUAGAUUGUUUAUGUUCAUGAGUCGGGUUUAUGAUAUUCCUAUAACUUUUUGUUGUUGUAGAUAAUAUUAUGAAUGAAACUGAAAGAAAGUAUUUGAACAUCAACAUUGACAUCAAUAAAAAAGUUAUUUUUAAGUUGUGAUAAGUAGGUCUUUUAGUUUUAAGUUUGUUUGUUCUUGCCACAACCUUUUAGUUUUUUAUAUUGAUUGAAAAUUUUCUACUGUCUUAAUGAUUCAUUUAUAGCAUAUUUUAAGACUAGAGUGCUUCAAUAAUAAAGCAACAAAAACAAAAUGUAUAAAGUCGAAAGUUAAAAAUGAAAGUAAGUUGCCACAACAUUUAGUCAAAUUACAGGCAAAGCGCAACAAAUAGCAAUAUACUUUCAUUUGUAGGUCUAAUAUAGCAUUUAAAUUUCAUCUCGAAUUAUUAAUAUUUUUAAUCUUUAGUUUAACUAUUAUCUUAUGUUUUUUCAAUCCAGUAAUUACUUAUCUGAAUGAAUGUUGAAAUAAAGACCAAAAUUAGAAAUUCCAAGGAUCAAAUUUGAUAUGAAACCUUGAAGCGUAGGAUUUGCUUCCAAUUUUCAAAGGAGUGCUCAAAUAGCUCUUACAGUUUCAUAUGUUAAUAGGAUGCAAAAUUACAUGCUACUGAUGAGGCUAUACCUAUGACACUUAGAAUUUUGUUGGUUGAAGCUACUGCACCUGCAUUACAAUGAGGUUGCUGCUUCAGUCUCAUCGUUUUGUCAGUAUAUUGCUAGUUGUUGCAUUUGUCAAAACCUGUGUUUCAACUGGAGUUGUUCAGAAGUAAAAUUAUGUCGGUAAAUCAAGAAAAUACAUUUUAGCUGAAGGUUGAAGGCAUCUUAUAUUUCCUUUUACUUUCCUAGUUCAUGUGUGGAUUCAAAAUGUCUUUUGUGUUGAUCGAACUUGUGAUAUGUUAUUAACAGAUUAAAAAGGAUAAAUCUAAAAAAAAUCCAAUAUGGGUGUGCAAACAUAAAUGUCAUUUUGUACUUAU